rnacentral:rRNA from 1 species
AGUGAACGCUGGCGGUAGGCCUAACACAUGCAAGUCGAACGGCAGCACAGUAAGAGCUUGCCCUUACGGGUGGCGAGUGGCGGACGGGUGAGGAAUACAUCGGAAUCUACUUUUUCGUGGGGGAUAACGUAGGGAAACUUACGCUAAUACCGCAUACGACCUACGGGUGAAAGCAGGGGAUCUUCGGACCUUGCGCGAUUGAAUGAGCCGAUGUCGGAUUAGCUAGUUGGCUGGGUAAAGGCCCACCAAGGCGACGAUACGUAGCUGGUCUGAGAGGAUGAUCGGCCACACUGGAACUGAGACACGGUCCAGACUCCUACGGGAGGCAGCAGUGGGGAAUAUUGGGCAAUGGGCGCAAGCCUGAUCCAGCCAUACCGCGUGGGUGAAGAAGGCCUUCGGGUUGUAAAGCCCUGUUGUUGGGAAAGAAAAGCAGCAGGUGAAUACCCCGCUGUUCUGACGGUACCCAAAGAAUAAGCACCGGCUAACUUCGUG